GUGGCUCAUUGGUAGAGCAUCUGCUUGGCUUGCAGAAAGUCGCAGGUUCAAUCUCCAGCAAUUCCA
rnacentral:tRNA from 1 species